GGAGGUGGGGUGUAGCUCAGUGGCAGAGCAUCUGAUUUAAAUUAAGAAGCCCCCAGGUUGAACCCCCAGGAUCUCCA